UGGGGAAUUUUUCGCAAUGGGGGCAACCCUGACGAAGCAACGCCGCGUGGGGGAUGAAGGUCUUCGGAUUGUAAACCCCUGUCGACCGGGACGAACACGCCCGACCUAAUACGUCGGAGCGUUGACUGUACCGGUGGAGGAAGCCACGGCUAACUCUGUGCCAGCAGCCGCGGUAAUACAGAGGUGGCAAGCGUUGUUCGGAAUUACUGGGCGUAAAGGGCGCGUAGGCGGCUCGAUAAGUCCCGCGUGAAAUCCCCCGGCUCAACCGGGGAACUGCGCGGGAAACUGUCGAGCUUGAGUUCGGGAGAGGGAAGCGGAAUUCCGGGUGUAGCGGUGAAAUGCGCAGAUAUCCGGAGGAACACCGGUGGCGAAGGCGGCUUCCUGGACCGACACUGACGCUGAGGCGCGAAAGCUAGGGGAGCAAACGGG
rnacentral:rRNA from 1 species